UCUUUGGUUACAUCUUCUGACAUCAGACUCGGACUUCUCUUGAACUGAAUUUUAAUGUGCGUAUUGUUAUGUUUUUUUCUUUUCUACAUUGGCUAGAGGUAUAGUGGGAGGGUUGAGAUCUCACAAACAUGUUUAACCCCGCCGCAUUUUUGCGCCUGUCCCAAGUCAGGAGCCUCUGGCCUUUGUUAGUCUUGUAUUAUUUUAAUUUUAGUUUCUUGUGUACAAUUUGGAAAUUAGUAUGGCGUUCAUUAUCACUGAACUAGUAUAUAUUUGUUUAGAGGCCAGCUGAAGGACGCCUCCGGGUGCGGGAAUUUCUCGCUACAUUGAAGACCUGUUGGUGACCUUCUGCUGUUGUUUUUUUUUUUCUAUGGUCGGGUUGUUGUCUCUUUGGUACAUUCCCCAUUUCCCUUCUCAAUUUUAUA
rnacentral:lncRNA from 1 species